AUAAAUGCCAGAGUUUCUCUUCUCCGGUAGAAUAAUUUGAACUCCCUGGAGUGAACAGAGGAAAGAAAAAAACUGCAGCCAUGUCCAGGAUCGUAGGCGCGACUCUCCUGCUCAUCCUUCUGAUCGACAUCUUCUGCACAGCUUCAUCUGAUGAUUUUUUUGUGAGUAGACUGGAUCUCGUCAAAUGCAGAUGCAAAUACUUGGCAAAUGGUAAAAGAAAGUGUCCCUUUCCACUGAUGCCCACGGACGACAAACUCAAAAUCGAUCUGAUCAAAUGCCUCUGCAAAACAAAACAAGACAGGUCUCCAAAGCUUCGGGCAUUCUGCAGCCACUCAAUCCUUCCAUUGAGUAGAUAGUAUGGGUUAAUUUUUUGAAGACAAUUUUUCUUAUUUUCAGUUCAGAGAAUAUAUCUCUAAAACAGAUGAGGCAUGUCUGGUACUGUCUAGCAAACACGGAAUUAAAAAGAUAAAUCUGUAUUUAUCCUGCAGGUAAAGCACAUUAUAAAUCUUUCGUAUCCACAAACUCACUGUAUUGAAUAUUGAAAUAAUGUUCCAUUUGUGUUAAUGUCUGCAGCAUGUUGUUCUUCCUCUAAAACACACAUAUGUACAUCACAUAUCACAUCUAGCCUUUGUUUCCAGAUCACAUGUUCUCUUGUUGUGUUCUAUUCUCUUUUGUUGUUGUUUUCAGUGUUGCUGCAGCUGGCACAAUAAAUGUUCACACUGAUGAAUCAGAUGUUGAUUUAAAAGCUAUUUCACCGUAAAAAGUGGUAGAAAUAAAAGAAAAAGGAAUAAAAGAAUUUCAUGCAA